rnacentral:rRNA from 1 species
UACGGAGGGUCCAAGCGUUAUCCGGAUUUACUGGGUUUAAAGGGAGCGUAGGUGGCCUUAUAAGUCAGUGGUGAAAUCUCUCGGCUUAACUGAGAAAUUGCCAUUGAUACUGUAGGGCUUGAGUAUAGUUCCGUUGGCGGAAUAUGACAUGUAGUGGUGAAAUACAUAGAGAUGUCAUAGAACACCGAUUGCGAAGGCAGCUGACGAAACUAUAACUGACACUGAGGCUCGAAAGUGCGGGGAUCAAAACAGG